GACGAACGCUGGCGGCGUGCUUAACACAUGCAAGUCGAACGGAAAGGCCCCUUUGGGGUUACUCGAGUGGCGAACGGGUGAGUAACACGUGAGUAACCUGCCCUUUACUUCUGGAUAACUUCAGGAAACUGGGGCUAAUACCGGAUAGGAAUCCUUGCUGCAUGGUGUGGGUUGGAAAGCUUCGGCGGUUUUGGAUGGACUCGCGGCUUAUCAGCUUGUUGGUGGGGUAGUGGCUUACCAAGGCUUUGACGGGUAGCCGGCCUGUGAGGGCGAGCGGCCACCUUGGGACUGAGAGACGGCCCAGACUCCUAAGGGAGGAAGCAGUGGGGAAUAUUGCACAAUGGGCGGAAGGCUGAUGAAGAAGGGCCGCGUGCGGGAUGACGGCCUUCGGGUUGUAAAACGCUUUCAGCAGGGGCGAAGCUUGUGGUGACGGUACCUGCAGAAGAAGCACCGGCUAACUACGUG
rnacentral:rRNA from 1 species